UCUUCUCCACAACAUCACAUGGAAGAUGGUUCAUUGCAAACUUUUUAAUAAUGUUAGUUUUUUUUUAUUUUAGUUAACUUUCAUUUGUUUUAAUUCUUAUAUAUUUUGUGACUUUUAAAAGGUUUUUGUUUCAAUUUUAUAUUGAAUUUAGUUCACAUAGUUUAUGUUUACAUAAUUUAUAUUUAAAAAAAUAAUUUCUCUUAAAAAAUUAAACUAAGAACAACCUAACUAAGAAAAACCUAAUUAAACUGAUAAAAAAAAAACCCAACCGAACCGAAUACAAACCAAACCGAAUAUAAACCGAACC
rnacentral:lncRNA from 1 species